GUAAUACAUCGGAACGUGCCCAGUAGUGGGGGAUAGCCCGGCGAAAGCCGGAUUAAUACCGCAUACGACCUACGGGUGAAAGCGGGGGACCGAAAGGCCUCGCGCUAUUGGAGCGGCCGAUGGCUGAUUAGCUAGUUGGUGGGGUAAAGGCCUACCAAGGCUACGAUCAGUAGCCGGUCUGAGAGGACGACCAGCCACACUGGGACUGAGACACGGCCCAGACUCCUACGGGAGGCAGCAGUGGGGAAUUUUGGACAAUGGGCGAAAGCCUGAUCCAGCAAUGCCGCGUGUGCGAAGAAGGCCUUCGGGUUGUAAAGCACUUUUGUCAGGAAAGAAAUUGUCUGGGCUAAUACCCCGGGCCGUUGACGGUACCUGAAGAAUAAGCACCGGCUAACUACGUGCCAGCAGCCGCGGUAAUACGUAGGGUGCGAGCGUUAAUCGGAAUUACUGGGCGUAAAGCGUGCGCGGGCGGUUUGUUAAGACAGUUGUGAAAUCCCCGGGCUUAACCUGGGAACUGCAAUUGUGACUGGCAGGCUAGAGUUUGGCAGAGGGGGGUGGAAUUCCUGGUGUAGCAGUGAAAUGCGUAGAUAUCAGGAGGAACACCGAUGGCGAAGGCAGCCCCCUGGGCCAUGACUGACGCUCAUGCA
rnacentral:rRNA from 1 species